UCUGGGUGGAGAAAUCCAGCGAGUUGUGCA
rnacentral:piRNA from 1 species